CAAGUACUCCCUCCGUCUGAAAAAGCUUGUCCCUCAAAUGGAUGUAUCACCAAGUUAGUGUUAGACUCAUCCAUUUGAAAGACAAGCUUGGGACAAGCUUUCUCGGACGGAGGGAGUAGGAG
rfam:Triticum aestivum genome assembly, contig: Triticum_aestivum_CS42_TGACv1_scaffold_250784_3DL